rnacentral:rRNA from 1 species
AUACGUAGGGUGCGAGCGUCAAUCGGAAUUACUGGGCGUAAAGCGUGCGCAGGCGGUUUUGUAAGACAGUGGUGAAAUCCCCGGGCUCAACCUGGGAACUGCCAUUGUGACUGCAAGGCUGGAGUGCGGCAGAGGGGGAUGGAAUUCCGCGUGUAGCAGUGAAAUGCGUAGAUAUGCGGAGGAACACCGAUGGCGAAGGCAAUCCCCUGGGCCUGCACUGACGCUCAUGCACGAAAGCGUGGGGAGCAAACAGGAUUAGAUACCCUGGUAGUCCACGCCCUAAACGAUGUCAACUGGUUGUUGGGGAUUUAUUUUCUCAGUAACGAAGCUAACGCGUGAAGUUGACCGCCUGGGGAGUACGGCCGCAAGGUUAAAACUCAAAGGAAUUGACGGGG